rnacentral:rRNA from 1 species
GUCUUUUUUAAAAUUUAUAAAGUCGGAUCCUGCCCAAUGAUGGUUACAAAUUUAAUUGCAGCGGUAAAGCGUGUUAAGGUAGCAUAAUCACUAGUCUUUUUAUUGAGGUCUCGCAUGAAUGAUUUGACGUCUUACUCUCUAUAACAAUUUAUUUUUAAAAAUUUUAAUUUUUAGUAAAAAUGCUAAGAUGAUUUUAGGGGACGAGAAGACCCUAGGAUUUUUACUCAGAUAAGAGUUUGGUUGGGGAAACCUUAAAACGGAACUUUUAAUUAAUGAAAUUUUCCAUUAUACAUGAAAUUAAUAAAUAAUAAAAUGAUUCAACUCUAUUUAAUCACAAAAUUACCCUAGGGAUAACAGAGUAAUAACAAGCAGGGAGGACAAAUUAAAGCUUGUGAUUACGACCUCGAUGUUGAAUUAGAAUCUGUUGCGGGGGGAGAGUCUUUCAACUUUAGUCUGUUCGACUAUUUUGAAUUCU